rnacentral:rRNA from 1 species
AGUUAGUGGCGGACGGGUGAGUAACGCGUGGGUAACCUGCCUCAUACAGGGGAAUAGCAGCUGGAAACGGCUGAUAAAACCGCAUAAGCGCACAGCGCCGCAUGGCACAGUGUGAAAAACUCCGGUGGUAUGAGAUGGACCCGCGUCUGAUUAGCUGGUUGGUGGGGUAACGGCCCACCAAGGCGACGAUCAGUAGCCGGCCUGAGAGGGUGAUCGGCCACAUUGGGACUGAGAUACGGCCCAAACUCCUACGGGAGGCAGCAGUGGGGAAUAUUGCACAAUGGGGGAAACCCUGAUGCAGCGACGCCGCGUGAAGGAAGAAGUAUCUCGGUAUGUAAACUUCUAUCAGCAGGGAAGAUAAUGACGGUACCUGACUAAGAAGCCCCGGCUAACUACGUGCCAGCAGCCGCGGUAAUACGUAGGGGGCAAGCGUUAUCCGGAUUUACUGGGUGUAAAGGGAGCGUAGGCGGCGGAGCAAGUCAGAAGUGAAAGCCCGGGGCUCAACCCCGGGACGGCUUUUGAAACUGCCCUGCUUGAUUUCAGGAGAGGUAAGCGGAAUUCCUAGUGUAGCGGUGAAAUGCGUAGAUAUUAGGAGGAACACCAGUGGCGAAGGCGGCUUACUGGAC